AUUCCCGUGGUCUAGUGGUUACGACGUCUCCUUUACAAUCAUAAAAUCGGAGAAGAUCCCGAGUUCGAACCUCGGCGGGAAUA
rfam:Lachancea lanzarotensis strain CBS 12615 genome assembly, scaffold: LALA0S02